AUACGGAGGAUCCGAGCGUUAUCCGGAUUUAUUGGGUUUAAAGGGUGCGCAGGCGGGAGAUUAAGUCGGCGGUGAAAUUUUGCAGCUCAACUUUAAAAGUGCCUUCGCAACUGGGUUCCUUGAGUGUAGAUGAAGGAGGCGGAAUUUUUGGUGUAGCGGUGAAAUGCAUAGAUAUCACGAGGAACUCCGAUUGCGCAGGCAGCUUACUAAACUACUACUGACGCUCAGGCACGAAGGCGUGGGGAUCAAACAGGAUUAGAUACCCUGGUAGUCCACGCAGUAAACGAUGAUUACUAGCUGUUUGCGAUACAAUGUAAGCGGCUGAGCGAAAGCGUUAAGUAAUCCACCUGGGGAGUACGUUCGCAAGAAUGAAACUCAAAGGAAUUGACGGGG
rnacentral:rRNA from 1 species